GGUUCGGCGGCGGGCUCGGGCUCUUCUCAUGCUAAUGUCGCCGCUUGUCUCCUCGUCGCAAAGCCAUUAGCUGCGGCAGGAGCGGUGUACUUGCGAGGUGUGUGCGAGAAGGUGAGAAAGAGCGCAAUCUCGGAGAUUAGACCGGACCGGAGGAGCAGAGCGUGAGAGAGCGCAACGCCGCAACAUGUUAUGUUUGGCAGGGCACUGCGAGUGAAGCGCUAGCAAACCCUCAAGCCAACAACCAGAUGCAGGAGAGGAUGGAGGAGGACAGGCAUCGCCGGAUAGGCAUCUCCUGACCGAUCCGUCUCCACCGUAGCGCCUCUUGGUCCUCCACUGAAGCCUGUGGCCGCCCGCUCGCCGGAUGACCCCUGAAAGGACGAACCCCAAAGAUUUCUUCAGCGUGAUAGCAUCCCCCUUUCUUCUAACAGGGCCCUGUGGACUUCAGUCUGUGGAGCUGACCCCAUUCUGCUGCGACUCCAAGCCGUGUUCAGAGCUGAAGAGCUUGACCAAAUGCAAGCUGACAACCAUGGCAGAUCCUUAAAGCAAGUUUCAGUUUCCCUACAUCCUCAGGAAUGUUUUUACAUAAUGGAAGUAUAGAAGAUUCUGGACUUUUGGAUGAGACCAAAAUAAUGAGAUCGCCAAGAAAGACGCAAGACACAGUGCAAUACUGCCACCUUUCGGUCAGAAAGGCGCAUGGCAACCUUAGGAAAAGUCAUAGUAUCUUUGAUAUAAAUCAGAAAGCCAGUCUGAUUAGGGGCGCAACACUGUGGAGUUAUUGGUGAAUGGAUCAGCAUGUGAAACAUAAUAGUUUUUGAAGGGAGGC